rnacentral:rRNA from 1 species
UCUAGUUGAUCCUGCUAGAGGACACUGCUAUCGGCUUGGGGUUAAGACAUGCAAGUGAAACGGGCUCGCAUCCGAGCCUGUCGCGAACGGCUCAGUAGUGUCGCUAAUCUACCCUGUGGAGGUGGACACCGCCGGGAAACUGGCGUUAAUCCACCGUAGGAGCAUUGUUCUGGAAAUGAUGUUGCUCUCAUAUGGGUGCCCUAGGUAUGUUGGGCUCUCCGCCGCAGGAUGGGGCGGCACCGGAUCAUACUUGUAAGUGGGGUAACUGCCCACUUAGGUUAUGACCCGAACGGGCGAUGUAAGUCGUGGCCCGGAGAAGGGCACUGAGACAAGGGCCCUAGCCCCACGGGGUGCAGCAGUUACGAAACCUCACCAAUACGCGCAAGCGUGAGUGGGCCAAGCCGAGUGAUGGGGGAUAACUCCAUCUGUGGCGGAUCCGUAUGAUGGACCGCUAGAAAGGAGAGGGCAAGGCUGGUGCCAGCCGCCGCGGUAAAACCAGCUCUUCGAGUGGUGUCCAUGAUUAUUGAGCUUAAAGCGUCCGUAGCCGGUUUGGUAGGUCCCUGCUUAAAUCCGGCCGCUCAACGGUCGGCCUGGUAGGGAUACCGCCUUACUUGGGAGUGGGAGACGACGACGGUAUUUCGUAGGUAAGGGUGAAAUCUAAUGAUCUACGAAGGACCACCAGUGGCGAAGGCGGUCGUCGAGAACACGUCCGACGGUGAGGGACGAAACCCAGGGGAGCGAAUCGGAUUAGAUACCCGAGUAGUCCUGGGCGUAAACGAUGCCCGUUAAGUGUAGCACUGGCCACGAGCCAUUGCUGUGCUGUAGCGAAAGCGAUAAACGGGCCGCUUGGGAAGUACGGUCGCAAGACUGAAUUUGAGAGCCGUUCCGACUCUCUACAGGUCACUUAAAGGAAUUGGCGGGGGAGCACCACAAGGGGUGGAGCUUGCGGUUUAAUUGGACUCAACGCCGGAAAACUUACCCGCCCAGACAGCCGAAUGAGAGCCAGACUGAUGAUCUUGCUCGACGAGCUGAGAGCUGGUGCAUGGCCAUCGUAAAUUCGUGCCGUGAGGUAUCAGCUUAAGUGCUGCAACGAAUGAGAUCCCUGCCACCUAGUUGCCAGCCGGGAGCUUCGGCUCUG